rnacentral:sRNA from 1 species
CCCAGCCCUCACGGGCUGGGCUUUAUGCUGUCGCCCCUUUCAGGGGCU